rnacentral:rRNA from 1 species
AUAGCGUAUAUUAAAGUUGUUGCAGUUAAAAAGCUCGUAGUUGAACUUCAGACCUGGUUGGGCGGUCAGCUUAACAGCGUGUACUGUCUGGCUGGGCCUUACCUCUUGGUGAGCCGGUGUGCCCUUUAUUGGGUGCGUUGGGGAACCAGGACUUUUACCUUGAGAAAAUUAGAGUGUUCAAAGCAGGCCUAUGCCCGAAUACAUUAGCAUGGAAUAAUAAAAUAGGACGUGUGGUUCUAUUUUGUUGGUUUCUAGAGUCGCCGUAAUGAUUAAUAGGGAUAGUUGGGGGCAUUAGUAUUCCGUUGCUAGAGGUGAAAUUCUUGGAUUUACGGAAGACUAACUUCUG